GACGAACCGUGCGAACGUUAUUCGGAAUCACUGGGCUUAAAGCGCGUGUAGGCGGGACGGCACGUCGGUCGCUGAAAGCCCCCGGCUCAACCGGGGAACUGGCGGGGAUACGACCGUCCUGGAGGGACGUAGGGGGACCUGGAACUUCCGGUGGAGCGGUGAAAUGCGUUGAGAUCGGAAGGAACGCCCGUGGCGAAAGCGAGGUCCUGGACGUUUUCUGACGCUGAGACGCGAAAGCCAGGGGAGCGAACGGG
rnacentral:rRNA from 1 species